rnacentral:rRNA from 1 species
AGAAUCAACGCUGGCGGCGUGCCUAACACAUGCAAGUCGAACGAGAAAGUGGAGCAAUCCAUGAGUAAAGUGGCGCACGGGUGAGUAACACGUGACUAACCUACCCUUGAGUGGGGGAUAACCUAGGGAAACCUGGGCUAAUACCGCAUAAUACCUUCGGGUCAAAGGAGCAAUUCGCUUAAGGAGGGGGUCGCGGCCGAUUAGUUAGUUGGCGGGGUAAUGGCCCACCAAGACUGUGAUCGGUAUCCGGCCUGAGAGGGGCGCGACGGACGACGACUGGAACUGAAACACGGUCCAGACUCCUACGGGAGGCAGCAGUGGGGAAUUUGCGCAAUGGGGGAAACCCUGACGCAGCAACGCCGCGUGGAGGAUGAAGUCCCUUGGGACGUAAACUCCUUUCGAUCGGGACGAUUAUGACGGUACCGGAAGAAGAAGCCCCGGCUAACUUCGUGCCAGCAGCCGC